rnacentral:tRNA from 1 species
AGUUUAUGAACUUGUAAAAGUAUAUAUUUUGAAAAUAUAAAAAAAGAAUAAGCUUCUUAUAAACUU